UAUGCCUUAUUAGCCAAACUCGUCCUUCAGAGAAAACAAGGAGACAUCGAAGACCAAAACAAUUCGUAGAAGAAGAAAGAUCGAGUCACGAGAAUCGCACGAUCAAGCCCUCUCGAUUGAGGGAGAUGAUCCAGCACAGGCCUUACACACAAAAAGUAGAUGUGUACAGUUUCGGGAUUGUUCUCUGGGAACUAAUCACAGGAAUGCUUCCGUUCUAGAACAUGACGGCAGUGCAGGCAGCAUUUGCGGUUAUUAAAAUGGGUGUUCAUCUGAUUGUUCCCCAUGAUUACCUACCUUUUCUCAUUGAGAUAAUGACCAGAUGCUGGGAUGCCAACCCUAAUGUCAAUCCUCCCUUCAUUGGCGUUGUCCAAAUGCUCGAGAACGCAUAGAUAGAGAUAAUAACAAAUGUCUGCAAGACCCGUUUCAGGUGUUGCAUGACCGAACCAAUGACAGUGGACUGAUUAGAAAAGAAAUAAAAGUG